CAGUCGCCGCGUUAAUACGGAGGGUGCAAGCGUUAAUCGGAAUUACUGGGCGUAAAGCGCACGCAGGCGGUCUGUCAAGUCAGAUGUGAAAUCCCCGGGCUUAACCUGGGAACUGCAUUUGAAACUGGCAGGCUAGAGUCUUGUAGAGGGGGGUAGAAUUCCAGGUGUAGCGGUGAAAUGCGUAGAGAUCUGGAGGAAUACCGGUGGCGAAGGCGGCCCCCUGGACAAAGACUGACGCUCAGGUGCGAAAGCGUGGGGAGCAAACAGGAUUAGAUACCCCAGUAGUCCCUGUCUCUUAUAC
rnacentral:rRNA from 1 species